UACGUAGGGAGCAAGCGUUGUCCGGAAUCAUUGGGCGUAAAGAGCGCGUAGGCGGCCCUGUAAGUCCGUUCUGAAAGUCGGAGGCUCAACCUCCGAAAGCGGAUGGAUACCGCAGGGCUAGAGUCCGGAAGAGGCGAGUGGAAUUCCUGGUGUAGCGGUGGAAUGCGCAGAUAUCAGGAGGAACACCAACGGCGAAGGCAGCUCGCUGGGACGGUACUGACGCUGAGGCGCGAAAGCGUGGGGAGCGAACAGG
rnacentral:rRNA from 1 species